rnacentral:rRNA from 1 species
AACGCUAGCGGGAGGCUUAACACAUGCAAGUCGAGGGGCAGCAUAUCUAGCUUGCUAGAUGAUGGCGACCGGCGGACGGGUGCGUAACGCGUAUACAACUUACCUAUUACUAGGGGAUAGCCAUUGGAAACGAUGAAUAAUACUCUAUAGUCUAUUAUCACUACCUGGUGUAAAUAGUAAAGAUUACGGCGAUAGAUAGGUAUGCGUCCAAUUAGCUAGUUGGUAAGGUAAUGGCUUACCAAGGCGAUGAUUGGUAGGGGGCCUGAGAGGGCGAACCCCCACACUGGUACUGAGACACGGACCAGACUCCUACGGGAGGCAGCAGUGAGGAAUAUUGGUCAAUGGAGGGAACUCUGAACCAGCCAUCCCGCGUGCAGGAAGACGGCCUUAUGGGUUGUAAACUGCUUUUAUACAGGAAGAAACAUGUGUACGUGUACUCAUUUGACGGUACUGUAGGAAUAAGCACCGGCUAACU